UUUGAACGCAAGUUGCGCCCGAGGCCUUCUGGUCGAGGGCACGUCUGCCUGGGCGUCACGCCAAAAGACACUCCCUACCCACCCAUGGGGAGGGACGUGGUGUUUGGCUCCCCGCGCCGCAGGGCGCGGUGAGCCGAAGUUGGGGCUGCCGGCGGAUCGUGUCGGGCACAGCACGUGGUGGGCGACACUUAGUUGUUCUCGGUGCAGCGCCCCGGCACGCGGCCAGCGUAUCGGCCCUUAGGACCCAUCGAGCACCGCAGCGCACGCCGCUCGGACCGCGACCCCAGGUCAGUCGGGACUACCCGCUGAGUUUAAGCAUAUAAAUAAGCGGAGGAGAAGAAACUUACAAGGAUUCCCCUAGUAACGGCGAGCGAACCGGGACCAGCCCAGC
rnacentral:rRNA from 1 species